rnacentral:rRNA from 1 species
UACGGGAGGCAGCAGUAGGGAAUCUUCCACAAUGGACGCAAGUCUGAUGGAGCAACGCCGCGUGAGUGAAGAAGGUUUUCGGAUCGUAAAGCUCUGUUGUUGGUGAAGAAAGAUAGUGAGAGUAACUGCUCAUUAUUUGCCGGUAAUCAACCAGAAAGUCACGGCUAACUACGUGCCAGCAGCCGCGGUAAUA